rnacentral:tRNA from 1 species
GGGGAUGUGGCUCCCUUGGUAGAGUGCUUGCCUAGCAUGCUUGAGGCUCUGGGUUCCACUCCCAGCACUGCCU